CAAAAGUUAAACACUUGGGGAAACGGACUCGCCUUUCGGGCUCGAGGCCUGACUCCAUUUGUAACAAACUUUCAACCAACUUGUGAAUUGUAACAAAUUUUCUCACCAAUUGACUGUUAACGAAGUCUGAUUCAAAUUGUAUUGGUGUUUAUGACACUAGUAAAAUAUGAAA
rnacentral:misc_RNA from 1 species